AUGAAGCUUCUAGCUUGCUAGAAGUGGAUUAGUGGCGCACGGGUGAGUAAGGUAUAGUUAAUCUGCCCUACACAAGAGGACAACAGUUGGAAACGACUGCUAAUACUCUAUACUCCUGCUUAACACAAGUUGAGUAGGGAAAGUUUUUCGGUGUAGGAUGAGACUAUAUAGUAUCAGCUAGUUGGUAAGGUAAUGGCUUACCAAGGCUAUGACGCUUAACUGGUCUGAGAGGAUGAUCAGUCACACUGGAACUGAGACACGGUCCAGACUCCUACGGGAGGCAGCAGUAGGGAAUAUUGCGCAAUGGGGGAAACCCUGACGCAGCAACGCCGCGUGGAGGAUGACACUUUUCGGAGCGUAAACUCCUUUUCUUAGGGAAGAAUUCUGACGGUACCUAAGGAAUAAGCACCGGCUAACUCCGUGCCAGCAGCCGCGGUAAUACGGAGGGUGCAAGCGUUACUCGGAAUCACUGGGCGUAAAGGGCGCGUAGGCGGAUUAUCAAGUCUCUUGUGAAAUCUAAUGGCUUAACCAUUAAACUGCUUGGGAAACUGAUAGUCUAGAGUGAGGGAGAGGCAGAUGGAAUUGGUGGUGUAGGGGUAAAAUCCGUAGAUAUCACCAAGAAUACCCAUUGCGAAGGCGAUCUGCUGGAACUCAACUGACGCUAAGGCGCGAAAGCGUGGGGAGCAAACAGGAUUAGAUACCCUGGUAGUCCACGCCCUAAACGAUGUACACUAGUUGUUGGGGUGCUAGUCAUCUCAGUAAUGCAGCUAACGCAUUAAGUGUACCGCCUGGGGAGUACGGUCGCAAGAUUAAAACUCAAAGGAAUAGACGGGGACCCGCACAAGCGGUGGAGCAUGUGGUUUAAUUCGAAGAUACGCGAAGAACCUUACCUGGGCUUGAUAUCCUAAGAACCUUUUAGAGAUAAGAGGGUGCUAGCUUGCUAGAACUUAGAGACAGGUGCUGCACGGCUGUCGUCAGCUCGUGUCGUGAGAUGUUGGGUUAAGUCCCGCAACGAGCGCAACCCACGUAUUUAGUUGCUAACGGUUCGGCCGAGCACUCUAAAUAGACUGCCUUCGUAAGGAGGAGGAAGGUGUGGACGACGUCAAGUCAUCAUGGCCCUUAUGCCCAGGGCGACACACGUGCUACAAUGGCAUAUACAAUGAGACGCAAUACCGCGAGGUGGAGCAAAUCUAUAAAAUAUGUCCCAGUUCGGAUUGUUCUCUGCAACUCGAGAGCAUGAAGCCGGAAUCGCUAGUAAUCGUAGAUCAGCCAUGCUACGGUGAAUACGUUCCCGGGUCUUGUACUCACCGCCCGUCACACCAUGGGAGUUGAUUUCACUCGAAGCCGGAAUACUAAACU
rnacentral:rRNA from 1 species